rnacentral:rRNA from 1 species
GGUAAUGUUCAGACAACGCAUAGUGAUGGCGAUCGAUUAUUGGAAUUAUUAAUCUUCAACGAGGAAUUCCUAGUAAGCGGGAGUCAUCAUCUGCGUUCUGAUUACGUCCCUGCCCAUUUGUACACACCGCCCGUCGCUCCUACCGAUUGAGUGAUCCG